CGCGUAGGCGGACCUGCAAGUCGGGGGUGAAAGCCCGAGGCUCAACCUCGGAACUGCCUUCGAUACUGCGGGUCUCGAGUCCGGGAGAGGUGAGUGGAAUUCCUAGUGUAGAGGUGAAAUUCGUAGAUAUUAGGAAGAACACCAGUGGCGAAGGCGGCUCACUGGCCCGGUACUGACGCUGAGGCGCGAAAGCGUGGGGAGCAAACAGGAUUAGAUACCCUGGUAGUCCACGCCGUAAACUAUGGGUGCUAGCCGUCGGUCGGCAUGCCGGUCGGUGGCGCAGCAAACGCAUUAAGCACCCCGCCUGGGGAGUACGGUCGCAAGAUUAAA
rnacentral:rRNA from 2 species